rnacentral:rRNA from 1 species
UACGAAGGGGGCUAGCGUUGUUCGGAUUUACUGGGCGUAAAGCGCACGUAGGCGGAUUUUUAAGUCAGGGGUGAAAUCCCGGGGCUCAACCCCGGAACUGCCUUUGAUACUGGAAGUCUUGAGUAUGAUAGAGGUGAGUGGAAUUCCGAGUGUAGAGGUGAAAUUCGUAGAUAUUCGGAGGAACACCAGUGGCGAAGGCGGCUCACUGGACCAUUACUGACGCUGAGGUGGCGAAAAGCGUGGGGAGCAAACAGG